ensembl:lncRNA
AGUACUCCUUCUUCUGAGGAGGCAGGGGGGUUUGUGCGAAAGGGAGAGUGGAGGAGGUGGGAGUCAUAGCCAUUCAUAACCAGUAUUUGUAUUUUAUUACGGGACUGUGAGGGGAGGGGGUUAGAAGGACGUACUAACACUAUUAAAACACAAGCAUUCUGGGAGAUUCAGCCAGAUGGAGAGAAAGAGAAAACAGGUGAAAGAGAAGAGAGAGGGAUGGGAGCACCUUACAACACUAAGUAAAGGUACACUAAGUAAAGGUACACUAAUGUUUAGCGAGAUAAGCUUUUUGCCGGUACACCUCUUGGUACGCUUUUUGUAGACUUUUGAAUCCAUUCAUGGAUGUAGGUAGUGAGAGAGAUAUCCUCUGAACCCAGCAGUACCAUACCUCAAUAUCCUGCAGACGUUCUACUGGCCAACAGUACACUCUCACAGAGGUGGAGAUGGAGGACAACCAUAUACUUACAAGGUGGCAAAGAGACUAGGCUAGAACCGGCAGGCAGGAUACAUAUACCUCAGUCACUUUUUCAACCUCUCUCUUUUUCGCUCCUCAUUUUCUGGUUUUCUUUAAUGGUAGAGAAGUGGCCAGAGGUAGAAAGAGAGCGAAUAUAUAUUAAGAUAAAAUACUUUAUUAUUGAUAAUAAUAAUGAUACGAUUAAACAAUAAUGAUAAUGGAAAUAAUGAUGGUCGGAAUUAAUAGUAUUCAUUUUAUUUUGUUUUUAAAAUGCCUUUUAUUGUAUGUUGUUUACUCCAUGUAAAGCGUAACACUUGUUCCUGCCCCCAUCCGAUUAUUUCAGUUGAAAUUUGUUUGUGCCUUUUUUUAUAUUGCUAAGCCUCAUACUCAGUCUUUCCCUCAUGCUCAUACAGUCCUCUCCUCCUGGACCUCAUCCUAAUUUAAUUUUAACGUGCAGAAAUAGAAUAUAAGAAAAAUAUAAGGGGGAGGGAGGCAUUUUUCUACUCGUGCCUUUUUGUGUUAUCACCUCUGUCAUACUCCUUCAACCUGUGCCUGGGUUGUGUGGCCAUGUCCGUCUGUUUGCCAUUCAGUUCAGUGCCUCUAUCUUUCUUUCUCUUUGGAUCUCCCUCCUCCCUCUCUUUGUUUAUACCUUUACUUCUUGUUUGUCCUCUCCUCUACUCAGAGCCUUGUAAUCAUCUUUUACACAUCUUACCCCAUCCCCCUGUUCAUCCUUUUCAAAUGUUGAACUCUAUUUGUGCCUUUCUGUCUCUGUCUGUCUCUUGCUCUCUCUUUUGCUGGGGACCUUGUGUUGACGGUGGGCAGGGUUUUGUCCAACCUUUGUGGUUAGUUUCAGGUACUACAUUGAAUUUAAUGAUAUGAUAUAAUAUAAUUAUACUGAAACAUUAUGGUCUAGUGUGUUGUUGCUUUGGCUCACUGUUAUUGUUUCUUACUGAAUAAAGGGGAAGGAUGUAAAGGAAUGUUACAGUAAUUCUUGCAGCUUUGGGUUGUCGCUAGUUGCCACAAAGUCAAAUGAAUGUCAUAAAAUUAAUCAAAAC